rnacentral:rRNA from 2 species
CGGGGGUAGAGCACUGUUUCGGCUAGGGGGCCAUCCCGGCUUACCAACCCGAUGCAAACUGCGAAUACCGGAGAAUGUUAUCACGGGAGACACACGGCGGGUGCUAACGUCCGUCGUGAAGAGGGAAACAACCCAGACCGCCAGCUAAGGUCCCAAAGUCAUGGUUAAGUGGGAAACGAUGUGGGAAGGCCCAGACAGCCAGGAUGUUGGCUUAGAAGCAGCCAUCAUUUAAAGAAAGCGUAAUAGCUCACUGGUCGAGUCGGCCUGCGCGGAAGAUGUAACGGGGCUAAACCAUGCACCGAAGCUGCGGCAGCGACACUGUGUGUUGUUGGGUAGGGGAGCGUUCUGUAAGCCUGUGAAGGUGUGUCGUGAGGC